rnacentral:rRNA from 1 species
AUUGAACGCUGGCGGCAGGCCUAACACAUGCAAGUCGAGCGGAUGAAGGGAGCUUGCUCCUGGAUUCAGCGGCGGACGGGUGAGUAAUGCCUAGGAAUCUGCCUGGUAGUGGGGGAUAACGUCCGGAAACGGGCGCUAUUCCGGCAUACGUCCUGUGGGGGAAAGGGGGGGAUCUUCACCUUCCCGCUAUAAGAUGAGCCAGGUCGGGUUAGCUAGUUGGGGGGGUAAAGGCCUACCAAGGCGACGAUCCGUAACUGGUCUGAGAGGAUGAUCAGUCACACUGGAACUGAGACACGGUCCAGGCUCCUACGGGAGGCAGCAGUGGGGAAUAUUGGACAAUGGGCGAAAGCCUGAUCCAGCCAUGCCGCGUGUGUGAAGAAGGUCUUCGGAUUGUAAAGCACUUUAAGUUGGGAGGAAGGGCAGUAAGUUAAUACCUUGCUGUUUUGACGUUACCAACAGAAUAAGCACCGGCUAACUUCGUG